UCUCCGUUGGUGAACCAGCGGAGGGAUCAUUACAGAGUUGCAAAACUCCCAAACCAUUGUGAACGUUACCUAUCCCGUUGCUUCGGCGGGCGGCCCGGGCCCCGCGCCCGGCGCCCCCCGGCCCCCCGUGGGCGCCCGCCGGAGGUAAACCAAACCCUUGAAUUGCAUGGCCUCUCUGAGUCUUCUGUACUGAAUUAGUCAAAACUUUCAACAACGGAUCUCUUGGUUCUG
rnacentral:misc_RNA from 1 species